UGGGGAAUUUUGCACAAUGGGGGAAACCCUGAUGCAGCGACGCCGCGUGAUUUAGAAGGCCUUCGGGUUGUAAAAAUCUUUUCUAUGGGAAGAAAAUGACAGUACCAUAGGAAUAAGGACCGGCUAAUUACGUGCCAGCAGCCGCGGUAAUACGUAAGGUCCGAGCGUUGUCCGGAAUCAUUGGGCGUAAAGGGUACGUAGGCGGGUAAGCAAGUUAGAAGUGAAAUCCUGUAGCUCAACCAUAGGCUUGCCUACAAAACUGUUGAACUAGAGUACUGGAAAGGUGGGUGGAACUACACGAGUAGAGGUGAAAUUCGUAGAUAUGUGUAGGAAUGCCGAUGAUGAAGAUAACUCACUGGACAGAAACUGACGCUGAAGUGCGAAAGCUAGGGGAGCAAACAGG
rnacentral:rRNA from 1 species